UACGGGGGGGGCAAGCGUUGUUCGGAAUUACUGGGCGUAAAGGGCUCGUAGGCGGCCAACUAAGUCAGACGUGAAAUCCCCGGGCUUAACCUGGGAACUGCAUUUGUGACUGGCAGGCUAGAGUAUGGCAGAGGGGGGUAGAAUUCCACGUGUAGCAGUGAAAUGCGUAGAGAUGUGGAGGAAUACCGAUGGCGAAGGCAGCCCCCUGGGCCAAUACUGACGCUCAUGCACGAAAGCGUGGGGAGCAAACAGG
rnacentral:rRNA from 1 species